GGCCAGACUCCUACGGGAGGCAGCAGUGGGGAAUAUUGCACAAUGGGGGAAACCCUGAUGCAGCGACGCCGCGUGAGCGAUGAAGUAUUUCGGUAUGUAAAGCUCUAUCAGCAGGGAAGAGAAUGACGGUACCUGACUAAGAAGCCCCGGCUAACUACGUGCCAGCAGCCGCGGUAAUACGUAGGGGGCAAGCGUUAUCCGGAUUUACUGGGUGUAAAGGGGGCGCAGACGGCGAUGCAAGCCAGGAGUGAAAGCCCGGGGCCCAACCCCGGGACUGCUCUUGGAACUGCGUGGCUGGAGUGCAGGAGGGGCAGGCGGAAUUCCUGGUGUAGCGGUGAAAUGCGUAGAUAUCAGGAGGAACACCGGUGGCGAAGGCGGCCUGCUGGACUGCAACUGACGUUGAGGCCCGAAAGCGUGGGGAGCAAACAGGAUUAGAUACCCGGGUAA
rnacentral:rRNA from 1 species